rnacentral:tRNA from 1 species
AUUUAUAUAGUUUAUUUUAAAACAUUAUAUUUUCAUUAUAAAAAUAAUAUUUAAUUUUAUUUAUAAAUU